UGUUCUAGAAACCUAGUGCAAAUGAUCCCAGCCCAGUUAUUAAAACCAGCCUGUCCUUCUCUCUCCUCCGGGCGGCGACGGGGAGUCUUCCUUUUUUCCUUUAACUCACUCGAAUAAUAUAUGGAGCGAUGUCUUCUCUCUUAGUGCAGAAGUCUGUUUCCCAAAUGGCUAAAAUGGUGGUUCUAAGACACAUUGCUUCAAAGCGAUCAAUAUCAACUUUUCCUUUUCUCUUUCAGAGAAUUAAACAAACAGAAAAAGAAAUAGUUGAAAUGUUCAAGGUACCCAGUUCAAAGGAUGAUGAAAUGCAGAACUUGCCCACGCAAAAUAGCAAGUUCUCGAGGAGAGACCCUUCGGUUAGGACAUUAGAUGAGAGGUUUAUAAGGAUUUUGAAGAUAUUUAAGUGGGGACCUGAUGCUGAAAAGGCCUUGGAAGUGCUCAAGUUGAAAGUGGAUCAUCGAUUGGUUCGUGAGGUUUUGAAGAUAGAUGUUGAAAUUAAUGUUAAGAUUCAGUUUUUCAAGUGGGCUGGCAAGAGGAGGAACUUUGAGCACGAUUUGACUACUUAUAUGCCUCUAAUCCGUUGUUUGGAUGACUGUGGGUUAUUUGGUGAAAUGUGGAAGAUGAUCCAAGAAAUGGUCAGGAGCCCGACGUGUGUCAUUGGUCCGGCUGAUUUGUCUGAAGUUGUGAAGAUAUUGGGCAAGGCCAAGAUGGUGAAUAAGGCACUUUCUGUCUUUUACCAGAUAAAGAGUCGCAAGUGCAAACCAACGGCGAGCACCUACAACUCUAUGAUUUUGAUGUUGAUGCAAGAAGGGCAUCAUGAAAAAAUUCACGAGCUUUACCAUGAGAUGUGUAAUGAGGGUAACUGUUUUCCAGACACAAUGACAUAUAGUGUGCUUAUUUCGGCGUUUGGGAAAUUGGAUCGGGAUGAUUAUGCUAUAAGGUUGUUCGAUGAGAUGAAGGCCAAUGGCUUGCAUCCAACUGCAAAGAUUUAUACUACCUUGCUGGCAAUCUACUUCAAGUCAGGUGAUGAGAAAGCUUUGGGUUUGGUGCAAGAGAUGAAGGAUGAGGGCUGUGCACCUACUGUCUUCACUUACACCGAGUUGAUUAAGGGGCUAGGAAAAUCUGGGAGGGUUGAAGAUGCCUACAGUGUAUUCUUGAAUAUGUUAAAGGAUGGUUGUAAGCCUGAUGUUGUGCUGAUAAACAAUUUGAUCAACAUUUUUGGAAAAGCAGGUCGCUUGGAAGAUGCGCUUAAGCUUUUUGACCAGAUGAGGUCUUGGAAGUGCGCGCCAAAUGUGGUUACAUACAACACUGUAAUCAAGGCUUUAUUUGAAUCCAAAGCUCCAGCUUCCGAGGCUGCUUCAUGGUUUGAGAAGAUGAAGGCAAAUGGUGUUGCUCCCAGCUCGUUUACAUACUCAAUUCUUAUUGAUGGUUUUUGCAAAACAAAUAGAGUUGAGAAAGCUCUAUUGCUUCUUGAAGAGAUGGAUGAAAAGGGUUUUCCGCCUUGUCCAGCUGCCUAUUGCAGCCUUAUCAACGCUCUUGGAAAGGCAAAACGAUAUGAAGCUGCAAAUGAGUUAUUUCUGGAGUUGAAAGAGAAUUGUGGACGUUCAAGUGCUCGUAUAUAUGCUGUGAUGAUAAAAAAUCUUGGAAAGUGUGGCCGUCCGAGUGAGGCAGUAGAUCUUUUCAACGAGAUGAAGAAAAUUGGAUGCAAUCCUGAUGUUUAUGCUUACAAUGCACUCAUGUCAGGGUUGGUAAGGGCUGGCAUGAUAGAAGAAGCUUUUUCUGCGCUCAGAACCAUGGAAGAAAAUGGUUGCACUCCAGACAUAAACUCGCAUAACAUUAUUCUAAAUGGCCUGGCUAGGACAGGUCGCCCAGAACAGGCAACUGAAAUGUUUAUGAAGAUGAAAGAUUCGUUGAUCAAGCCAGAUGCAGUGUCGUAUAACACCAUUCUUGGCAGUCUGAGCCGCUCUGGCAUGUUUGAGGAGGCUGCAAAGCUGAUGAGAGAGAUGAGUUCAAGAGGAUUUGAAUAUGAUCACAUCACUUACUCAUCAAUUCUUGAGGCGGUUGGUAAGGUUGAUGAAGAUGAUGAACCCAACUUUCCAUGAAGGAGACCUGGUAUUGUCUCAAAUUCAUUCCUUUACCAGUACUGUUAAUUUAUUAUGAAAUUUACAUUCACAUUACCUGUGCAUUAUAAUGGUAGUUUGACUGCAUUCAUUUAUUAGCAUGAAGACUCCCGCAGGGAAGGAUAAGCAUCAAUUUUCUUUCAUUAUCUUAUCUCAAUUUUCUUUCAUUAUCUUAUCUUUCGGAUACUAUGAGGAUGCACUGAUACCAGAAUACUUUUUAUACAAUGGCAAAUUCAUUGGGAAAAAAAAUACUUAGGAAUAAUAAUUCAUACUAGAGUCAUCUCAUCAUGCUUGCAAGUGAAUCAUUGAGAGGUAUUGCUCACGGGGAAGGGGGCAUAGAUAGCCAGAUAACAUUUUUUUUGGGGGCUUGCAUUUUGAUUAUUGACACUGCAUUUGAAAUUAAAAUCUGUUAAGCUCACUUAAAGAAAUUCAGUAAAGACUGCUGGGCUAAUACUUACUCUUGAUCAAAAUUGGGAAAGCAUAAGAAGAGAAUAUUUGAACCAAUCAUAGAAACAGAAAAUGAAUAUCAUAAAACUCUAUUUCCUGUACUCUUGAAGCUCAUAAAGCCACAGAGGUUGACUGUCUAACUAGUUUUUUGUAUUGGGUAGGACUGUAUGCGUUUUGUCAAUCAUGAUGCUUAAGUGAUGCAGACAGGUCAAAAGAACACUAGCUAAAUAAACUAUUAGAAACCCGCUUCCCUGAAGUGGUGCUGUAGCUUAUACAACCCUCUGUUGUGAGUGCAGUUGAAACACUUGAAAAGCUAUGCAUACCUUAAUUAAUUAAAGCAAAUGUUUUGUUGAGCCUUUUUUAUCCUGAUUUUCUUACUUCACUUGCCUGAGAUAAGGACAAAGAAAAAGGAAAAAUAGCUCAUUUCUCCUGAGAAGAGGUGAAGCAGCUUCUAUCAGUUGAUUUGUAGUUUUUUGGAACCAUGCCACGGCUUCUGAUGACAUCUAGUCUUGCAUGAUUAAAUUGUGUCAUGAAAGACUUCCUGAAACUGCACCUGUUGUUUGGUCAUCAUCAUAUCUACCAUAUGGCCCUUGCAUGAUUAAAUUGUGAUGGACUUCCUGAAGCAGUUUUCUGUUUUUGGACAUCAAUGCAUCUGUUAUACUGUUGUGAAGUGAUGGACUUCUUGAGUGCAUGUCAAACUGCUGGACAUGGUUCUUACAAUUGCAAUGAAAACCAAUAGCGCAGCGUUAUUUUCAACAACUAUAAAUGUGUUAUAGAGGCCCAUUAAGCUCCAAUAAUGGAUUCAAAGUCGGUAUUCUUCAAAACAGCUGAGCACCUGUAGUGUUGUUCAAAUAUGAUGUUGUGGAAAUUUUGUUUGUUGCAAAGUAGAAGAGGAACAAAAUCUCUCUAUCUUUCUGAAAGAAGUGGCUAUGUGCUUCUUGCUGCUGUGUGGUAUUAUUUAUUCUUGCUCUCUUGCUCCAUUUUCUGCUUUGUCUUGUGGGAUGAAUUAAAGGGAUCACAAAUUGGGUUAUUCAACUGACAGAUUAUUUAUAGUAAUGGGCCCUUUUGGUUAGUUCACCUGGACUUUGGAGGAAUGCAAUCUUCACCAAGUUGAAAAAAUCCUUAGCAGCUUAAGGGUUGCCCCUUGCUUUAAUAGGACCACCAGUUUAUCAAAUAAAUCGACGAACUUUUUACCAAACAUGAACUUUUACCAAGCACAGUGUGAUUGGUUCUGAUUUGGGCUGAGAACUGCACGGUUGCUGUUACCAGGUAAAGUGACAUUAGUGUUUUGCUUAACAAUGAAUCAAAGCAUUCGGAAAUGGAGGGAUAACUGGUUAGAGGGUUUUGGGCUGCUGGAGCAACAUGCUACUCAAAUCUUCCAGAGGAGUUGGUUAAUGCUUCUGUGCAGAUAUGGUGAUCAAUAAUGAGCAAUGGAGCUGGGAAUCUUUUCUCACUUGCUCCCCAUGCAGAUAGUGUUGAUCAUGGCUAAUUACCUUCCCCCCUCAAGUGGUAUGGAAAAGGAUGUGGUUUAUUGGCGAAACACCACACCAGGUACAUUUACUACUCAGUCUGCAUGUGAUGCACAAAUUAAUGAAGUGAAUUGUAGUCAUCGCAAGGAUCCUAUUUGGCGAUUGGUUUGGAAAUGGAAAGGUCUAGAGUGGAUCAAGGCUUUCUUAUGGACAGUGGCUCAAAAUGUUUUGUAGACAAAUGAGGUUAGAGUGGGUUGACAUUUUACAGAGAAUCUAGUUGCCAUCGUUGCUUAGGGGAAACAGAGAAAAGGAUGCGUGCACUUAGAGACUGCCCUAGUGCUACUAUUAUUUGGAAUUCUCUUGUUAAACAACGGGACAAGGAAAUGCUUUAUAGUGCAGGAGCGACCACUUGGCUGUUAAGAAGCCUCUCGGCUUGUGAUGAGGCCAUGGCAGUAGUUACUUGGUCUGCAUUAUUUGGAGUAACAAUCUGGUACUGGCGGAAGUUUAGAAACCAAAGAAUUUUUGCCAAUGAUUCUAUGUCUCACACUUGUCCCUUGAACGUGAUUAAGAGUCUAGUAGCAGACAUAAAACGUACCAAUGAGGUAGAUGGCGGAGCUUGUAGCAAUAUUAAGUGAGUUGGAUUGGUUGGAAAUACCCUCCAAGGGAGUUGAUGAAGCCUAAUAUUGAUGAUAGUAGAAGGGGAAAUUCUGGGUGCUCCGGAGCAGAUGGACUCAUUGGGGACGGUAAUGGAUCUUGAAUUGUUGGAUUUGCUAUAAAUACUGGUGUGGGAAUCUCAGUUAGAGCUGAGCUAUGUGCAAUUACUGCUGGAUUAGAGAUUGCAUGGUCGCGAGGUAUUACCAAACUGAUUAUUGAAUGGGAUUCUGAGCUGGUGAUAGAUUGCAUUACAAAGGAGUCAAUUAAAAUGGAUGUAUAUUUUAAUUGUCAAAGCAAGGGAACUAUGAAAAAGAGAUUGGGAAGUGGUAGUGCAACAUGCUUUCAGGGAAAGCCAAUUCAUUAGCAGACUGUUUAGCUGACUAUGGGUGAAGUAAAGAUCUAUUUGAUAGGUGAUUGGGAAUAAUUACCAAUCCUCCUUUAAUCUUUUUCUCCUCCUUGUAUUUCAAUCUCAUUGGGUCCAUUUUUUCUCGUUUGAUUUAAUCUAGAGCUGAUUUAGCUCUAUUUUUAUUUUUUUAAUAAAAAAA